CCCUUAGAUGUUCUGGGCCGCACGCGCGCUACACUGACGAAGUCAGCGAGCAUGUCCCACGCCGACAGGUGCGGGGAAUCUUGUCAAACUUCGUCGUGAUGGGGAUUGAUUAUUGAAAUUCUUGAUCAUCAACGAGGAAUUCCUAGUAAGCGCAAGUCAGCAGCUUGCGUUGAUUACGUCCCUGCCCUUUGUACACACCGCCCGUCGCUACUACCGAUUGAAUGGUUUAGUGAGAUCUUCGGAUUGGCGCCACUGCGGCUCAGCAAUGGGCUCGGUGGGUGCCGAAAAGUUGAUCAAACUUGAUCAUUUAGAGGAAGUAAAAGUCGUAACA
rnacentral:rRNA from 1 species